AAAAGAAGCAAAUAGUAAUACAAAAUACAUUUUAUUCGAAGUUGAAUCCGUAUCCAUUGUCUAAGCUGCUUGUGAAUGAAAAGCUUUGUCUCUUUUAUUUUAAAUAAUCUGGUCGCAUCGACUAUGAAGAAUGCAGACUGUUGGACUUAUAUAUUCAUUCUAAGGAGGCUAAUCAUGUGUUGCGUUUGUAAAAGGGCAACUGCAAAUGAUAAAUAUAAAAAGCUGUUAGAAAAAAAAUUAUUAAUUCAAAAAUUUUUGAAAAUUAAAAAAAAUAAAGCGUGUCCGACAUUACAUUUUUUGAACAAUGACAACCGCCGCGCAGAAGAAAGGAUUAUUGAGAAAAGGGCGAGAAAAGCUUUGCGGAAUGUUUACGCGCUCCUAGUGCUACCUCAGAAUCAUGAUAGAAAAUACGCCCUAGAGGUUGGCCAAUGACACCUUACGAAGUUUGACAGAUACCCUUAAAAACAAUGUAACGAAAUCCAUUGCAGCCGAGUAACAUUAUGGAAAGAUGCAAUGGUGUAUAUAAAAAUAGUUGACGCAUUCUACAGCGCAUUCUACAGCACUACAGCGCAAAGAAGCUGCGAAGACACACAAAAGGUUGUGCAGCGCUGCAUAACAUUUGCGUCCACUACAAAGUGGAAGGGAAUUGUUUGAAUACUCUAGCACCGGCGAUGUAUAAAAUGAUGGUGUUGAUAUUUGUGUAGGCACACCACCAUUGAGGCGCUUGGCUAAGGAAGUUAUUGAAUUGCUGCCACAAAAUUUAUAAAUAUUUCAAUAAUAUUAAAAAUAUAAAUAAAUUUUU